rnacentral:rRNA from 1 species
AACGAACGCUGGCGGCAUGCCUAACACAUGCAAGUCGAACGGGAUCCAGGCUUCGGCCUGGUGAGAGUGGCGGACGGGUGAGUAACACGUGGGAGCCUGCCUUUUGGUUCGGGAUAACCGCGGGAAACUGCGGCUAAUACCGGAUGCUCCCGAGAGGGGAAAGAUUUAUCGCCAGAAGAGGGGCCCGCGUCCGAUUAGGGUAGUUGGUGAGGUAAUGGCUCACCAAGCCGACGAUCGGUAGCUGGUCUGAGAGGAUGAUCAGCCACACUGGGACUGAGAUACGGCCCAGACUCCUACGGGAGGCAGCAGUGGGGAAUAUUGGACAAUGGGGGCAACCCUGAUCCAGCAAUGCCGCGUGAGUGAUGAAGGCCUUAGGGUUGUAAAGCUCUUUUGCCAGGGAAGAUGAUGACUGUACCUGGAGAAUAAGCCCCGGCUAACUUCGUGCCAGCAGCCGCGGUAAU